rnacentral:rRNA from 1 species
UACGGAGGAUGCAAGCGUUAUCCGGAAUUAUUGGGCGUAAAGCGUCCGCAGGUGGCUGUGUAAGUCUGCUGUUAAAGAGUGAGGCUCAACCUCAUAAAAGCAGUGGAAACUACACGGCUAGAGUGCGUUCGGGGCAGAGGGAAUUCCUGGUGUAGCGGUGAAAUGCGUAGAUAUCAGGAAGAACACCGGUGGCGAAAGCGCUCUGCUAGGCCGCAACUGACACUGAGGGACGAAAGCUAGGGGAGCGAAUGGG